GCUUAUGAAGCUUAAUUGGUUAAGCAAAAUAUUAAAGCUAUUUAGGUUAUAAGUUCGAGUCUUACCGCGAGUA